GUGGGGAAUAUUGGACAAUGGGCGCAAGCCUGAUCCAGCAAUGCCGCGUGCAGGAUGAAGGCCUUCGGGUUGUAAACUGCUUUUGUACGGAACGAAAAGCCCUGGGUUAAUACCCUGGGGUCAUGACGGUACCGUAAGAAUAAGCACCGGCUAACUACGUGCCAGCAGCCGCGGUAAUACGUAGGGUGCGAGCGUUAAUCGGAAUUACUGGGCGUAAAGCGUGCGCAGGCGGUGCUGUAAGACAGGCGUGAAAUCCCCGGGCUCAACCUGGGAAUUGCGCUUGUGACUGCAGUGCUGGAGUACGGCAGAGGGGGAUGGAAUUCCGCGUGUAGCAGUGAAAUGCGUAGAUAUGCGGAGGAACACCGAUGGCGAAGGCAGUCCCCUGGGCCUGUACUGACGCUCAUGCACGAAAGCGUGGGGAGCAAACAGGAUUAGAUACCCGUGUAGUCC
rnacentral:rRNA from 1 species